rnacentral:rRNA from 1 species
UACGGAGGAUGCAAGCGUUAUCCGGAAUUAUUGGGCGUAAAGCGUCCGUAGGUGGCCGUUCAAGUCUGCUGUCAAAGGCUGGGGCUUAACUCCAGACAGGCAGUGGAAACUGAACAGCUAGAGUGUGGUAGGGGUAGAGGGAAUUCCCGGUGUAGCGGUGAAAUGCGUAGAAAUCGGGAAGAACACCGGUGGCGAAAGCGCUCUGCUGGACCACAACUGACACUGAGGGACGAAAGCUAGGGGAGCGAAUGGG